rnacentral:rRNA from 1 species
UAGAUACCCUAGUAUUUUAAAUUACUUAAAUUAGUAAGAGGUAUAAAAAUUAAAAAUUUUGGCGGUUAUUUUUAUUUAGAGGAGCUUGUCAGGAUUAAGUAAAUACUCUUUAUAUUUUAGUUGAGAUUAGUUCAUUCAUUUCCGUUGAUUUAUAAUAUAGAUGUAUUUUUUGGCAGGUCAAGAUGUGACUAUUUUUAAUAAAAGAUUAGCUAUAAUAUAGGAUAUUAGAUAUUUUUAUAAGAAAAUAUAGAAAAAAGUUAAUUUAAUUGUAAUAAUAAUUAGAAAGUUAUUAUGAAUUUUAUAAAUAAUGUAUAGAUUGCCCGUCACUUCUAUUACUAAAGUAGAAUAAGUCGUAACAAA